rnacentral:lncRNA from 1 species
GUUAAGUUCACCGGCUUGAGGACGGGGAGAGAUUCUUUGAAGAUGUUCGUUAGUCAAGAGAUAAGUCUCUGUCUUCUGUCAAUUAGGCAUUUAGGGAUAUUAGUCUCUCAGUUCUUAAGUUCCGUCCUUCUGAGGGUGCAUGGGUGAGAUUCGCCAUUUCAUAUCCUCUGGUUCCAUUUUAGAUUGAAAUUCUUUCACAAGUGCUAUCCUUGUCAUCAAGGUCAUCAAGACCUGUACCCAUCACUGACCUGGUGGUAGUUUCUGCAGGUGAAGAAAGAAGACUCGGCCUGGUGUUAAACUCAGCGGUAUUGUUACAUGCCAAGGUUUGAAAAUGAUUCUGCACUCGCUCUCCCCUCUCCUUCAGACGUAUAAGACAGAGUCCUAGCCGGCUAGGAAGACUGUUGGAGGAGGCAAGCCACUGAACCCUCUGAAGCCUGAAGGAAUUAGAUCACGGUGAUAGCUGGGAAUUGCAGUUUUAUGCUCACUCUCAAGAAUAAUGACACGAGACUGAAGAUGCAG